rnacentral:rRNA from 1 species
GACGGAGGAUGCAAGCGUUAUCCGGAAUGAUUGGGCGUAAAGCGUCCGCAGGUGGCAAUUCAAGUCUGCUGUUAAAGCGCAGGGCUUAACUCUGUAAAGGCAGUGGAAACUGAAUAGCUAGAGUGUGGUAGGGGCAGAGGGAAUUCCCAGUGAAGCGGUGAAAUGCGUAGAGAUUGGGAAGAACAUCGGUGGCGAAGGCGCUCUGCUGGACCAUAACUGACACUCACAGGACGAAAGCUAGGGGAGCGAAUGGG